rnacentral:piRNA from 1 species
UCACUCGGUUCUCGAUACUGGUUCGC